rnacentral:sRNA from 1 species
GACGGAUUACCUAAUUCACGUGUUGCAAAGGGUUAUCAGUUGUACGUAUGAUACUUUUUUCAAUGUGUGAAUUUUAUUUUUUCACGAGAAUAAAAGAAACAUGUUAAUCUAACUUUCUGGAGGUUUUUCUCAAUGCAAACAGGUACUGUAAAAUGGUUCAACGCUGACAAAGGUUUCGGUUUCAUCGAAGUUGAAGGCGGUUCCGACGUGUUCGUACACUUCUCCGCUAUCCAAGGCGACGGUUUCAAAACCCUCGACGAAGGCCAACGCGUACAAUUCAACGUUGUUGAAGGCAACCGCGGCCCGCAAGCUGAGAACGUUGUAAAGCUGUAAGCUUUGACAACUUCAAACUGCCCUUAACUAAGUUAGGGGCAGUUUUU